rnacentral:tRNA from 1 species
UUAAUUGAAGCCAAAAUAGAGGCAUAUCACUGUUAAUGAUACUACUGAGUUUAUAGCUCCAAUUAAG